GACACGCGCAACAGAGCUUCGCAGGUGUGUACUACAGGUGCUUACCCACCUGUCACCUCAUCAUGUGUGUUUCCUUCAGUAGAAUGGUGACCGGACAUUAUCUACCAAACAAAGUUAAGGAGAAGCUUCAUCAGUGUCUUCAGGAGAAGUAUGUUUCCCAGCCUUCAGCUUUAUUCAUGCCCUGGGUUUGUGAGAGUUACCUGUAACCUCCUCGGCUAACACCUGUCACCGUGCUCCUGCGUAAUGACUGAACUGUUGAGCUGGCGCAUGACCUCAGACCGUGCGUCGCGGAGAGAGAGAUUAUGGAGACGUUUUCUUCCUGCAUCGCCACUGGACAUGUGUGGAUAUUAUCUCUUUCACUGCCAAGAUAGAGUCCGGUUUCCAUGCUGCUGAGAAGGUUUCGGACUUCUACCUUCCCCAUUGGGCCAUGCCAUAAAGAGUGUCUGGAGCUGUCUGCUGGCUGUGGAAAUGGAAAUUCCACCAUGACCCCUUGACCCCGUGCAUUAUUCAGAAGACGAAUCAUCCAUAAUACCACGUCAUUACUUCUUAAUUCACCUCUUUACUCUCCUCUCUGCUACUACAUGGAGACAUCUUUUAAUGCAUGUAUUCGCACUGAUUGCAUUAAAAGCCCACUUGUUAGUUGAGUAGAAUAAUGCAGCUCAUCAGGCUUCAAUUAUACGUUCUUAAAUGAUCUUGAAGGAUAAAGUCAAGGACUGGCUGCUCAUGAAGGCAUCAUGCUCAGUUUUAUGUUUGUGAUGUAUAAUGUUUGUUUUCUGUCAAACUUUCUGUCAGAUGCCUUGAAGUAGUGAUAAGAUUCAUUUAAACGUACCCAGUGGA